UACGUAGGGUGCAAGCGUUAAUCGGAAUUACUGGGCGUAAAGCGUGCGCAGGCGGUUAUGCAAGGCAGAUGUGAAAUCCCCGGGCUCAACCUGGGAACUGCAUUUGUGACUGUAUAGCUAGAGUACGGUAGAGGGGGAUGGAAUUCCGCGUGUAGCAGUGAAAUGCGUAGAUAUGCGGAGGAACACCGAUGGCGAAGGCAAUCCCCUGGACCUGUACUGACGCUCAUGCACGAAAGCGUGGGGAGCAAACAGG
rnacentral:rRNA from 1 species